AGGACGAACGCUGGCGGCGCGCCUAAUACAUGCAAGUCGAGCGAGAAACUCGGGGCUUGCCCCGGGUGGACAGCGGCGAACGGGUGAGGAACACGUGACUAACCUACCUUCGAGUGGGGGAUAACUCCGGGAAACCGGGGCUAAAUACCGCAUAACAUCCUCGGAUCGGAAGAACUGGGGAUCAAAGGAGCAAUUCGCUUGAAGAGGGAGUCGCGGCUGAUUAGCUUGUUGGCGGGUAAUGGCCCACAAGCGAUGAUCGGUAUCCGGCCUGAGAGGGCGCACGGACACACUGGAACUGAAACACGGUCCAGACUCCUACGGGAGGCAGCAGUGGGGAAUUUUGCGCAAUGGGGGAAACCCUGACGCAGCAACGCCGCGUGGAGGAUGAAGUCCCUUGGGACGUAAACUCCUUUCGACCGGGACGAUAAUGACGGUACCGGUGGAAGAAGCCCCGGCUAACUUCGUGCCAGCAGCCGC
rnacentral:rRNA from 1 species